rnacentral:rRNA from 1 species
UACGUAGGGUGCAAGCGUUGUCCGGAAUUAUUGGGCGUAAAGAGCUCGUAGGCGGUCUGUCGCGUCGGCUGUGAAACCUUGGGGCUCAACCCCAAGCCUGCAGUCGAUACGGGCAGACUAGAGUGCGGUAGGGGAGACUGGAAUUCCUGGUGUAGCGGUGAAAUGCGCAGAUAUCAGGAGGAACACCGGUGGCGAAGGCGGGUCUCUGGGCCGUAACUGACGCUGAGGAGCGAAAGCGUGGGGAGCGAACAGG